rnacentral:lncRNA from 1 species
UCAAGUCUUUGGUGAUGAUUCACUCAGUCCUGGGAGAACACAAGAAAAUCACUACUCAGGGCUUCUCUGGAAACCAGCAUAGGCCAGACACAAGACAAGGGCACGGGCGGCCCCCAGCAGUGUUUUCAGCAGGAAGGAGGGAGUGGACAAGUGGCUGCAUUGAGGAGUGGAUAUUUUGGAAGGGGAGAUUUCCUCUGGGACUUCUGAAUCUUUAAAACUCUAACGAGUUAGACGAAGGUGUAUCGGGUCCUGUGGCCCCCGUCCCACCUUCCUGCUCAAGCUCUGAGACAUUUAGUCCUGGCUUGAUGGUUAUUGGCACAGAUGUUAAAGGCCAUUAGUGGGGAACAUGGAAAGCUUUUUCUGAGCUAAAAGGCAUGCUGAGUUUUAGUUCAGAGUGGUUGCACGGGGGCCUCUUCAUCAUGAAUCUGGAAACCCUCUAUCAUUAAGGAUUAGUUCACAGAUUUCCUAGGAAGACACCAGCCACCACCUUGCACAGACUCUGGGAUCUAAGGCCACACAAUGAAAGGGAGAAAUCAGUGGCUGAAGGAGUCACUUCAUGACUGGGGAGUACAAAUGAUCUAGACUGUGUCUCUUUACAUAAUCAGGUUUAAGCUGGCACUGUCUAGGGUAAUGGCUGACAAUCAGGGUUUGUUCCUUCGGGACGAUAGCUGGAGAAAUGGUCAACCCUUGGUUUGAUAAUAAUAAUGCCUUUGAAGGGAGUAAGCCAGAGAUAACUUCUUCACAAAAUUAAUGGUGUUCGUAUCUAGGUCUCCAAGCCCCAAUGAAGGAAUUUAAGAUUAAGAAAC